CCUACCUUUCGAACCGAAAUAAUCUAAAGAGAUCCCAAACUUCGAGAAAUUUCGAGAAACCAUGAAGCUAGUUUUUGUCCUCGUUGCCUCCUUGGUUAUAGUUGGAGCAGCUGCCCAAACUACAGCGCCAACCAUCCGGCCAACGACGCCACCCUCGGGGGCAUCGUCAACGACAAACACCCCUAACCCUUUGAAUAACCCGGUCACCUUCAUCGUAAACCAGGUCAGGGGGCUCUGUUACUCAGGAUCCUGGAUGCGUUCACCACUGCGCUCUUGCCCAAUCCGGAGCAGCUGAAUGUCCUCGCGGCCCAGCUGUCACAGCUCGUGAAACAGCUGAACUCCCUGUCCGGUCAAUUAUCACGUGCUGUACUGCCUCUCGUAGACCAGCUGAUAGACACCGUUACAAAUUUACAGAUUCAACUGGACACCAAGAUUGACUCGGUGCAAGCCAAAUUGAAUCAAGCAGUUGAUAAAGGACAAACCUUGGUGGCGAGGCAAAUUAAAAAAGUUGUUGAUGGCUUGACCGCAAUCGAAGAAAUUUUGGAUCAACUUGAAUCCAUCCUGGAGAGUCUGCAGCAAUCCAUUGGGGGUGCGACGACCACCGCGCGGACGGGUCCGACCGCAGGUGUCCCCAGUACAACUAUUAACUAUACUAGCUUUUAGCACAGGCGUUUCUAAAUACGACGUGAAUGAAGUUUUGCGAAAAAUGGGAUACUUUAAAAAAAUAAAAAUACACCUUCCAAUUAAAAUGUACAGCUUAUGCCACGUGCGUACCUAAGUAUCUAUUAGUAAAAUAAUAAGAUAAUAAUAGGUUUGAGAAAUUAACUAUGUAGACAUAAAGUUUCCACUUUUGAAAGAAAUUUUAAGCUACACUUUACAAUUUGUUAGAAAUUUUUUUUAAAGGUCACUUACACAAAUUCUCGUAACUCAAUUUUGUCGAGUAUGUAUGGCAUAGUAUGCUACUUGAAAUUGCUAAUUAUAGGUCCACAAGAAGGAAAAAGUUGCACUGAAAAUGUCAAAGUUGCAAAAUUAAAAAAAAAGUUAAGUAAUAAAAACAUGGUCGAAACUUU